GAUGAACGCUGGCGGCGUGCCUAACACAUGCAAGUCGAACGGAGUCCAGCCUUAGAGACCUUCGGGUCAAAGAGGGGAAGACUGAGUGGCGGACGGGUGAGUAACACGUGGGCAACCUGGCUCAUAGAGGGGGAUAACAGAGAGAAAUUUCUGCUAAUACCGCAUAAGCACACACUGCCGCAUGGCAGAGUGUGAAAAGAGAAUCGCUAUGAGAUGGACCCGCGUCUGAUUAGCCAGUUGGCAGGGUAAGAGCCUACCAAAGCGACGAUCAGUAGCCGAUUUGAGAGGAUGAACGGCCACAUUGGGACUGAGACACGGCCCAAAAUCCUACGGGAGGCAGCAGUGGGGGAUAUUGCACAAUGGGGGGAACCCUGAUGCAGCGACGCCGCGUGAGUGAAGAAGUAUUUCGGUAUGUAAAGCUCUAUCAGCAGGGAAGAUAAUGACAGUACCUGAAUAAGAAGCCCCGGCUAACUACGUG
rnacentral:rRNA from 1 species